CUUUACAUUCUUCCCGCUUCCUGUCCCCACGACACGCUCGCAUGUCACACCCAUUCAGAAAUGGAAAAGGUCAAGCCGCAAAUCCUGACCCACCGCUCAGUACCCUAGGAGUUAUUUUUAGAUGAUGUUGCUGGGUGUUCUGCUCCUUCGACUUGCAGUGCUCCAUGGAUGGAGAUUAGGACUAUAAAGAGGACAGGAAACCAAGGGCUCCCAAAGCUGGAGUUGGGUCACUGAGUCCUUUGCAGCCAGCGGUGCAAACAGGCAGGUCCUUUGUCCUAAGCGCCCUUGUAGUUUCCAGUUCCAGCUCUGACCUACAUGACCAGGUAAGAAUCCUCCCAUGAUGUACUUACCUGGUACAGUUGACAUGUCUUUUGUGUUUUUCCACACAUCCAAUUUCAUAUGGAUUUGUAUGUUCAUUUGAUCAAUGUCUUUCUCCCCAUUAGGCUAAGCUGCUUGAAGGCAGAGACCAGCCAGUUUUCCUUACCUGGCAAAGAGUG
ensembl:lncRNA